GUGCAAUGGCGGGCUAUACUGCAGUCGAGCGAAUCUUUGGGGAGCUUGCUCCCUGAGAUUAGCGGCGGACGGGUGAGUAACACGUGGGCAACCUGCCUAUAAGACUGGGAUAACUUCGGGAAACCGGAGCUAAUACCGGAUACKUUCUUUUCUCGCAUGAGAGAAGAUGGAAAGACGGUUUACGCUGUCACUUAUAGAUGGGCCCGCGGCGCAUUAGCUAGUUGGUGAGGUAAUGGCUCACCAAGGCGACGAUGCGUAGCCGACCUGAGAGGGUGAUCGGCCACACUGGGACUGAGACACGGCCCAGACUCCUACGGGAGGCAGCAGUAGGGAAUCUUCCGCAAUGGACGAAAGUCUGACGGAGCAACGCCGCGUGAACRAAGAAGGCCUUCGGGUCGUAAAGUUCUGUUGUUAGGGAAGAACAAGUACCAGAGUAACUGCUGGUACCUUGACGGUACCUAACCAGAAAGCCACGGCUAACUACGUGCCAGCAGCCGCGGUAAUACGUAGGUGGCAAGCGUUGUCCGGAAUUAUUGGGCGUAAAGCGCGCGCAGGUGGUUCCUUAAGUCUGAUGUGAAAGCCCACGGCUCAACCGUGGAGGGUCAUUGGAAACUGGGGAACUUGAGUGCAGAAGAGGAAAGUGGAAUUCCAAGUGUAGCGGUGAAAUGCGUAGAGAUUUGGAGGAACACCAGUGGCGAAGGCGACUUUCUGGUCUGUAACUGACACUGAGGCGCGAAAGCGUGGGGAGCAAACAGGAUUAGAUACCCUGGUAGUCCACGCCGUAAACGAUGAGUGCUAGGUGUUAGAGGGUUUCCGCCCUUUAGUGCUGCAGCUAACGCAUUAUCACUCCGCCCUGGGGAGGACGGCCGCACGGCUGAAACUCAAGGAAUGACGGGGCCCGCCCAACCUUCGAUCAGUGUUUAAUUUCAAACGACGCGAAAACGUACCAAAUCUUGACAUCCUCUGACAACCCUAGAGAUAGGGCUUUCCCCUUCGGGGGACAGAGUGACAGGUGGUGCAUGGUUGUCGUCAGCUCGUGUCGUGAGAUGUUGGGUUAAGUCCCGCAACGAGCGCAACCCUUGAUCUUAGUUGCCAGCAUUCAUUUGGGCACUCUAAGGUGACUGCCGGUGACAACCGGAGGAAGGUGGGGAUGACGUCAAAUCAUCAUGCCCCUUAUGACCUGGGCUACACACGUGCUACAAUGGAUGGUACAAAGGGCUGCAAACCU
rnacentral:rRNA from 2 species